GUGUCAGCAGCCGCGGUAAUACGAAGGUGGCAAGCGUUACUCGGAAUUACUAGGCGUAAAGGGCAGGUAGGUGGUUUGAUAAGUCUGUUGUGUAAGCUCCCGGCUUAACUGGGAGAGGUCAACAGAUACUAUCAAGCUUGAGUAUAGGAGAGGGUACUGGAAUUCCCGGUGUAGCGGUGAAAUGCGCAGAUAUCGGGAGGAACACCAAUGGCGAAAGCAGGUACCUGGACUAUUACUGACACUCAGCUGCGAAAGCUAGGGGAGCAAACAGGAUUAGAUACCCUCGUAGUCC
rnacentral:rRNA from 1 species